UUGAGAGUUUGAUCCUGGCUCAGAACGAACGCUGGCGGCAGGCUUAACACAUGCAAGUCGAACGCCCCGCAAGGGGAGUGGCAGACGGGUGAGUAACGCGUGGGAACAUACCCUUUCCUGCGGAAUAGCUCCGGGAAACUGGAAUUAAUACCGCAUACGCCCUACGGGGGAAAGAUUUAUCGGGGAAGGAUUGGCCCGCGUUGGAUUAGCUAGUUGGUGGGGUAAAGGCCUACCAAGGCGACGAUCCAUAGCUGGUCUGAGAGGAUGAUCAGCCACAUUGGGACUGAGACACGGCCCAAACUCCUACGGGAGGCAGCAGUGGGGAAUAUUGGACAAUGGGCG
rnacentral:rRNA from 11 species